rnacentral:rRNA from 1 species
CAGCAGCCGCGGUAAUACGGAGGGUGCAAGCGUUAAUCGGAAUUACUGGGCGUAAAGCGUGCGUAGGCGGUUUGUUAAGUCUGUUGUGAAAUCCCCGGGCUCAACCUGGGAAUGGCAAUGGAUACUGGCAAGCUAGAGUGUGUCAGAGGAUGGUGGAAUUCCCGGUGUAGCGGUGAAAUGCGUAGAGAUCGGGAGGAACAUCAGUGGCGAAGGCGGCCAUCUGGGACAACACUGACGCUGAGGCACGAAAGCGUGGGGAGCAAACAGGAUUAGAUACCCCCGUAGUCCCUGUCUCUUAUAC